CUGUAACAAAUUAUCACAAAUUUAGCAGCUUAAAACCACACAGAUUUAUUACCUCAAGAUCCGCCCGCCUCGGCCUCCCAAAGAGCUGUGAUUACAGGCGUGAGCCACCGCGCCCCGCCCAUUCUCAGCUUUUAGAGGCUGACUGCAUUUCCCUUUAGUCUCUCUGACUCAUUUUUGUUUUGUGCCACAUCUCUUCUCUGACUCCAGUCGGAGAAAGUUCUCUGCUGUAAGGAGUCAAGUGAUUAGAUUGGGCUCACCUGGAUAACACAGGAUGCGCUCCCUCUUUUAUGAUCUAUAAUCUCAAUUACGUCUGAAAAAAUCUCUAACAGUCCUACCUAGACAGAGUUUGAUUGAAUAAUCAGAAGACAGGCUAUUGGGGCAACAUCUUUGGAAUUCUACCACCACUAGUUUUUGUUUGUUUUUUUCUUUUUCUCAAAACUUGAGGAUAGAAAUAUUCACACUUUUUUCAACUUUCAAUGCUUAUGCCUAAACAUCUGACACAUAUCAGAUAUUCAUAAAUAUAUUUCCUCCC
rnacentral:lncRNA from 1 species